UCGGCCGGCCGAACGACCGCGCUCGCGUAAGCGGACGAGGAAAGUCCGGGCAUCAUAGAGCAGGGUAGCUGAUAACAUCAGCCGAGAGAAAUCUCCGGACAAGUGCAACAGAGAUAUACCGCCUCAUUUUUUGGGGUAAGGGUGGAAAGGUGAGGUAAGAGCUCACCGGCGGCAUAGGUAACUACGCCGUCCUGUAAACUCUAUUCGAUGCAACACCGACUCGAGGGACACGGCUUGCUCGGCCAAUCUUCGGACAGGUGGCUUGAGGCGUGGGGUGACCCAUUGCCCAGAUAGAUGGUCGUUUAAGACAGAACCCGGCUUACAGACCGACCGACACC
rnacentral:RNase_P_RNA from 1 species